rnacentral:rRNA from 1 species
AAACUUUCAACAACGGAUCUCUUGGUUCUGGCAUCGAUGAAGAACGCAGCGAAAUGCGAUAAGUAAUGUGAAUUGCAGAAUUCAGUGAAUCAUCGAAUCUUUGAACGCACAUUGCGCCCCUUGGUAUUCCGGGGGGCAUGCCUGAUCGAGCGUCAUUA